GGCGGCGUAGCCAAGUGGUAAGGCGAAGGUCUGCAAAACCUUAUUCGCUGGUUCGAAUCCAGCCGCCGCCUCCA
rnacentral:tRNA from 1 species